rnacentral:ribozyme from 13 species
UUUUCUUUGGUUUUUCUUCUUUUUCUUUUUCUUUUUCUUUUUUUUUCCUUAUGAGUGAUGAAAAUCGCGAUGGGGAGGAAGCUGGAGUUGGAGAUGGUGAUGUU